AGUGCUGAGGGAAAGCUGAGGGUAUUGAAUUGCUUAUGUUCUGGAAAGGGGGAGUGAACGCUUGCAUGUUCAGCCUUUUGGUGUGCUGGAAAACGAAGAAGAGCUCUUAGUGGGAGUGAGUGGGUAUACUGCACCUACCAACCUGCAGUGAAGGAUACCCUCUCACAGCGUUUUCGACUGAUAUGGUUCAGCAGGGAAUUAAAUUAUGGGAUUUUGCUGGAAAGAAGCUGCUGAAGUCUUUUGAAACAAAAAUAUCUCCUGGAUGGAGCAUGCUAAGUCAAGUCCUGGAGGGCCUUAUGAAACUGUUCAGAUAAAAGCUUCUGAUAGUGUGUGUUUGCCAAUAUAUUAAUCGUAAUGUGGUGAAGCAAAAAUCCACCCCAAACUAUGAGAGACUCUGCAGAGUAAUUCCUCUAAUAUUUUAGCCAGUAUAUAGACUGAUGUUUUUGGCUUAUACAAAAGCAGACUUUCUAUUAGACUGCAAAAGUGAUCUCUAAUGAAAAAUAACACCCUUGGCCUGUGGUUUUGGCAGUUAUAUCUCAUUUCUGUACACUUUUCAGUCCAGUGAGAAGAGCUUAUUGUUGCAAACCUGUACUUGAGCAGUCCUUGCAACACACUGUGCAGGGAGAGCUCACAGGUAGUGCUCAACCAGGUUCGCAUGCACCAAGAGCUGCUUGGUGCCAUAGAAGCAGUGAGCGUGUGGGGGAAGCUAUGUUGGUUUGUGAAUUUCAUUAAAAAUCUGAGAUGUCUAUGCACGCAGCCUUAUUCACAGUUUUUUCUGUAUUGUGAUUUUAGGAUAUAACAAGGUGUUAACAAGAAAAACAUGUUUUCAUUAAAGCUGUAUACAAAAUGUAUCUUUGCCCUGAGCCCUUCUGUGUGUUUAUUUUUCUGAAACAGUCUGUUACUUAAAGAAACAAACAAAAACUGAAGCAGGGGAAGAAACUUUUUCCUUUCUGUGUAAAGGUCCAUUUCCACCCCUCCUUUCAUUUCCAGCCACUGAGGGUCCUGAGCUGCCAGGUGGACUGGGCUGGCCCAGGUGAG